UUGCGGCUGGAUCACCUCCUUAACGAAAGGACUUUCCAAACAGGACCCACACGUUUGCUUGUCUGUUGUUCCGGCGUCGAGAAGCCGGUAACAAGUGAUUCGAAAGAAUUAUUUGUUACCGGUUUUUUAGUCCGGUCUUGAAGUUCAUCUUCAAGAUGCUCUUUAACAAUCUGGGAAAUGAGAAGUCCAAGUAUUCCAAUGGAAUACAAGCGUUAGAGACUUAUAUCUGACACUUGUGUCUAUUAGGUGAAUCGUUGGUGUUACAGCCGUAUGGCUUGAGCAGUUGAUGAGAGUUGACUGUUUUGGGUUAUAUGGUCAAGUGACGAAGCGUACACGGUGGAUGCCUUGGCAGCCAGAGCCGAUGAAGGACGGGA
rnacentral:misc_RNA from 1 species